CGCGCCUUGUCGAGCAUCCCAGCGGCCAAAUGGGCCCACUCACACACGGAUAACGACCCCUCCACCACACGCGUACACGCAUUCUGCCUUCACAAAUUUCCCCAAAUUCACCAUCGUCGAUCUUGAGAACCACCGGAGUAUUGGGAGAUUGGGCUGCGCGUGGGUGCCAUGACCGCCGGAGUAUUGGGAGGCUGGGCUGCGCGUGGGCGCCGUGGCUGCCGGAGUAAUGGGAGGCGGGGCUGCGCGCGGCCGCCGUGGCCGUCGGAGCAGUGGGAGGUGGGGCUGCGCGCGGCCGCCGUGGCUGCCAGAGUAGUGGGAGGCGGGGCUGCGCGCGGCUGCCCUGACCGCCGGACUAGUGGGAGGCGGGGCUGCGCUGCAUGUCUGCAUCUACUUCAGCAAGGUCAAGGACGUCGGCAGCGGCGACGACGAGCGCACUGAUGAUGUGGUUGUUACAGAGGCAGAUGUCCGCUCGGGGCAUUGCAGACAAGCGUUGCCUGCUCAGGAAGCAGCGGGUGGGAUUUUGACAAUGUCCAGGGCAUGGAUGAAGCCAAGGAGGAGCUUGUUGAGUGGGAAAGAUGGCCGGGAGGAGCAAAAAACGCAAUUGGCAUGAACAACAUGUGACUGCUCUUGACCAUGAUUCAUUCCCUGCCAUUCAAGACCAACAAAUAGAGGGCAAGUUGCGGGACUCACCUAAAAAAAAUCUCAAGCUAUCCAAGGAAUACCCAAGUAAGGAACCUUCAUCAGCUACUCUCCAAGUAAUCUUCAUACCCUUCCCCCGGAGAUUAGUUGCUUACUAUCUAGCUAGAGAGAAAUCAAUUUGUGUGUGAUUACUGAUUGCACUAAACUUUCUUACAGUUUCUUUUCAGUAAUUGGCAGGAAAUCAGUUGCCCACUACCAGCGUGCACGCAUAAGUUGGUUACUGGCAGAACUGGAGUUGCUUAAAAACAGCCAACCUAGAUGUUGCUGCUUUAAAAAAAAAAUACCACAGUCGUUGUACAAAGUAAACUAAAUUAAGAAGAGAUGCAUGAGUUGCUUACCCCUUUCCCACCCUUUUUUAUUUGCUUAAAAGUGCCCCAAUAGUUGCCACGCUUUUUUUACAUCUUUUUAGUUGUAGCACGCAUAACCAAACAAGAGUUGUUUGCUCUUAACACCUUUUUUGCUCAAAGCAAAGCCUAGAAGUUGCUGGCCUUUUUGUUUUAUUUUGUUUUUUGACACUUUUUUCUACUCCAAAAGCAACCUAAAAACACAAUAGCCAGUAUUUGCAAAAAAUGAAUCAAAAAACAGAUGUCGUGCUCAUGUCCUGCCAAGAGUUGCUUGCUGUCAGACAUGAUUUGCUUACAAAAUCCAUUAUAAUUGCUCACUUUUUGGUUUUGCCCUUUUUUUGGUAACAGGUGCCAUACAAAAACGAUACUAGAUUCUCACAGAUCUGGGAAAAAUGAGGGAGAGCACUGGGACGAAGAAGGUGCAAUCAGAUUUGUAUAAACAAGAUUUGUGGGGGAGGAAAGGAUACGCAGUUUGCAUGGGGAGAAGAUGGGCGUAGGGUAGGGCAGUGGCGGAGCUUAGUGGAGAGCAACCUGGGCCAUUGCCCCCCCAGCCCAUGAGAAAACUAGCAUAUAUCCCCUAGUAUUCAGUCCAUAUGCCCAGUUAAAAUCAGCCUAAACUCAUAUUUCUUGCCCCUCCAGCCCAUUUGCCCCUCCAUAAAAUCAGCCCAAGCUCCGCCACUGGGGUAGGGUGAGGACAGAGAGAGGUUGAUCAAGCACGUGAUUGGGGGGCUGGAGGAAAGCGUGCGAGCUGCGGCUUGAUGCGCCUCUCUAGCGCAGGCUCAAGGGUUGGGGCGUGUGGGGACUGGUUCUUUUCCUUUUCUGUCCCGCCAGCUGUUUAGGGUUUUUCAAUUUCUUUUUUGGGUGUGUGCUCUAGAUUACUAACCAGCCAACAGGUGCUCCCUAGUCACGUCCAAAUUACUAUGGGGUGGGGAUUGGGACAAGCCUGAGCAACGCAACGUUCAGAGUUGCUGCUGAUAUCGUCAGAUAAUAAAAUCGUGACCGCCUGCUCUAACCAAGCUGCGUGCCCUCUCUGCCUCUGCAAGAGGGAGGGAGUACUAACUUUCCGUCUUGGACAGGGUGAAGAAGCAUCCGUCAGUGUCGACCAACUUGAAGUCGCGCGUCCUUGUCGGCUAUUGCUCCGAGCGACAUUUCAGAGCAACUGAAGCUAGCGGCGGUCAGCAUUGCCGUGCUACACGGACUGGACCACAGUACAGUACUUACCAGUCAACCGGUCAAGUCAAUGUGUCUAACCUGUAGCCUACGCUACAGCAAUGUACCCAGCGGUAGAAGACGACAUGAUCUUGACGCAGAGAAGACGAAACAAGAAAAUUUACAUGGUAUAAGAGCAGCUAGAACCACAACUUGGAAAUUCCACCCCUAAUCGUCCGCGGGUCACAACACACUAAAAAUCAUUUUCACAAUCGGAUACCUCAGAGCAACUCCAACGGGCCGAUCCAAACGGACGGCGAUUUCGUCUGCUUUUUGUCCGUUUGGGUCGGCCACGCGGACACG